AACGCAGGUGGUUCUGUCGCCCUGUCUCAUGGCAGGGAGGAAAGUCCGGGCAGCACAGGGCAUUACCCUUCCUAACAGGAAGAUAUCCGAAAGGGUAUGGGAAACGGAACAGAGAAUGACUGCCUGCCGCAAGGCAGGUGAGGGUGAAAAGGUGAGGUAAGAGCUCACCGGUACUGCAGGUGACUGCAGUAGCCGUCCGUCCGGUAAGCUGUAAGGCCAUGUAUAUUACGGUUCAUCUGAAAGAUGACUUUUGCGGCUCGCAAAAGGGUUGUACCUGUACAACCGCCGUAAGGGGUAGGCCGCACGACUGAAAGAGCAAUCUUUCAGCAAGACAAAUGACAGAACUUAUUCCCUGCAGGAAUAAGACAGAACCCGGCUUAUACACCUGCUGAUGAA
rnacentral:RNase_P_RNA from 1 species